CGGGAAGAGCUCAAAUUUAAAAUCUGGCGUGCCUCUGGUCGUCCGAAUUGUAGUCUGAAGAAGCGUCUUCUGUGUUGGACCGUGUACAAGUCUCUUGGAACAGGGCGUCAUAGAGGGUGAGAGCCCCGU
rnacentral:rRNA from 1 species